rnacentral:rRNA from 1 species
UGAGGAAUAUUGGUCAAUGGGCGGGAGCCUGAACCAGCCAAGCCGCGUGAGGGAUGAAGGCCCUAUGGGUCGUAAACCUCUUUUGUCAGGGAACAAAAGCGAGUAUGUAUACUAGUCUGAGUGUACCUGAAGAAAAAGCACCGGCUAACUCCGUGCCAGCAGCCGCGGUAAUACGGAGGAUGCGAGCGUUAUCCGGAUUUAUUGGGUUUAAAGGGUGCGUAGGCGGCGAUGCAAGUCAGCGGUAAAAGCCCGGGGCUCAACCCCGGCGAGCCGUUGAAACUGCAGUGCUAGAGAAGGCGAGAGGUACGCGGAAUGCGCAGUGUAGCGGUGAAAUGCUUAGAUAUUGCGCAGAACUCCGAUUGCGAAGGCAGCGUACUGGCGCCUGACUGACGCUGAGGCACGAAAGCGUGGGGGAUCGAACAGGAUUAGAUACC